rnacentral:rRNA from 1 species
CCAGAGCCUGAAUCAGUAUGUGUGUUAGUGGAAGCGUCUGGAAAGGCGCGCGAUACAGGGUGACAGCCCCGUACACAAAAAUGCACAUGCUGUGAGCUCGAUGAGUAGGGCGGGACACGUGGUAUCCUGUCUGAAUAUGGGGGGACCAUCCUCCAAGGCUAAAUACUCCUGACUGACCGAUAGUGAACCAGUACCGUGAGGGAAAGGCGAAAAGAACCCCGGCGAGGGGAGUGAAAAAGAACCUGAAACCGUGUACGUACAAGCAGUGGGAGCACGCUUAGGCGUGUGACUGCGUACCUUUUGUAUAAUGGGUCAGCGACUUAUAUUCUGUAGCAAGGUUAACCGAAUAGGGGAGCCGAAGGGAAACCGAGUCUUAACUGGGCGUUAAGUUGCAGGGUAUAGACCCGAAACCCGGUGAUCUAGCCAUGGGCAGGUUGAAGGUUGGGUAACACUAACUGGAGGACCGAACCGACUAAUGUUGAAAAAUUAGCGGAUGACUUGUGGCUGGGGGUGAAAGGCCAAUCAAACCGGGAGAUAGCUGGUUCUCCCCGAAAGCUAUUUAGGUAGCGCCUCGUGAAUUCAUCUCCGGGGGUAGAGCACUGUUUCGGCAAGGGGGUCAUCCCGACUUACCAACCCGAUGCAAACUGCGAAUACCGGAGAAUGUUAUCACGGGAGACACACGGCGGGUGCUAACGUCCGUCGUGAAGAGGGAAACAACCCAGACCGCCAGCUAAGGUCCCAAAGUCAUGGUUAAGUGGGAAACGAUGUGGGAAGGCCCAGACAGCCAGGAUGUUGGCUUAGAAGCAGCCAUCAUUUAAAGAAAGCGUAAUAGCUCACUGGUCGAGUCGGCCUGCGCGGAAGAUGUAACGGGGCUAAACCAUGCAC